UCCGUAGGUGAACCUGCGGAAGGAUCAUUAUAGAGAUUGGUUGGGUAACACCUUCUAAACCUCCCACCCUUUGUUUACAUUACCUUUGUUGCUUUGGCAGGCCCGUCUUUAGACCACCGGCCUUGGCUGGUCAGCGCCUGCCAGAGGACCUAAAACUCUGUUUAAUCGUAUUGUCUGAGUACUAUAUAAUAGUUAAAACUUUCAACAACGGAUCUCUUGGUUCUGGCAUCGAUGAAGAACGCAGCGAAAUGCGAUAAGUAAUGUGAAUUGCAGAAUUCAGUGAAUCAUCGAAUCUUUGAACGCACAUUGCGCCCUCUGGUAUUCCGGGGGGCAUGCCUGUUCGAGCGUCAUUACAACCCUCAAGCCUAGCUUGGUAUUAGGCCUCACCCGUAGGGGUGUGCCGUAAAAUCAGUGGCGGUGCCAUUCGGCUUCAAGCGUAGUAAUUUUCUCGCUUUGAGGUUUGGAUGGUUACUUGCCAGCAACCCCAAUUUUUUUAUAGGUUGACCUCGGAUCAGGUAGGGAUACCCGCUGAACUUAAGCAUAUCAAUAAGCGGAGGAAAAGAAACCAACC
rnacentral:rRNA from 1 species